AUUAAAGGAAACAGUUCAAUCUUUAUCUUGGGAGUUCCUGACUGUCUCAGAAAUGAGGAAUUUGAUAUCUUAAGUUCUCAGACGUUGAGAAAGAAGGGCC
rnacentral:sRNA from 1 species